rnacentral:rRNA from 1 species
AUUGAACGCUGGCGGCAGGCCUAACACAUGCAAGUCGAACGCAGUGGGGACGGGUGAGUAACACGUGGGUAACCUCCCAUCAGAGGGGAUAACACUUGGAAACAGGUGCUAAACCGAUACUGAUGGAUGGACCCGCGGUGCAUUAGCUAGUUGGUGAGGUAACGGCUCACCAAGGCCACGAUGCAUAGCGGACAUUGUAGGUUGUUCGGCCACACUGGGACUGAAACAAGGCCCAGACUCCUACGGGCGGCAGCAGUAGGGAAUCUUCGGCAAUGGACGAAAGUCUGACCAAGCAACGCCGCGUGAGUGAAGAAGGUUUUCGGAUCGUAAAACUCUGUUGUUAGAGAAGCGGUAUCUAACCAGAAAGCCACGGCUAACUACGUGCCAGCCGCCGCGGUAAUAC